rnacentral:tRNA from 1 species
UGGGUUAUGGCUCAGUGGUAGAGCGCUCACUUAACAUGUGUGAGGCAUUGGGUUCGAUCCUCAGCACCACAU